ACUGAAGCUCGCGAGAGGAUCCUGGGGGCAGGCGCGUCGCGGUGGCAGUGUUUCUUGGGUGUGCGGGGCCGGGCGCCCCGUAGCCUCUGGUCUGCAUGGGGAUUACAGGUGUUUGGCAAGUGGCAUGGCAGAACAGAGAAUCUAGAUUCAGGACCUGGACUUGGAUAUAAGCUGUCACUUGUUACUUGGCCUUGCACUAAAUGACCAUUCUCAGGUAAAUGGGCAACCACCUGUUUCAGUGUUGUAAGGACUGAGGUAGGUGAUCUAUGUGAAAGCGUGAGAUACGUGCCAGGUAUCAUGAUCAAUACAUAAGGGUACACAACAAAGAAUAAAAGUUCUAUAUAAAUACAA
rnacentral:lncRNA from 1 species